rnacentral:misc_RNA from 1 species
UUUUAAAUGACAUAAUUUUAAUGACAAUUUGAUAAGAAAUGACUAAUAUUUUUUAAAUCUUAACAAUUUAAAUAAUGAAUAAUAAAAAUUAAUAUAUAAAAUUGAAGAAAAAUACAUGUGGGUAGAAAUAAUAUAAAUUAAAGGAACCAAAAUAGGAGGAAAAAAAUUAUAAAUUUAAUUAACAUAUGUAAAGAUGCAGUUCAAUAGUCAAGUUCGGAGAAUUUGAUGCCUUGAAAUUGUAAAAUCAAAAACUUAAUAACUUAAAAGUGUGCAUAUUGUUACCUAUUAAAUUCAAAUGUUGUAGUUUAAAUUUUCAAAAUUUAGAGAUUACAGUUUCGAAUAUAACUUAAAAUAAAAAAAUAAUAUAUAAUGUAUUGGAAUUUAGAAUCUUACUUAAAGAACUUUGACGGGGAGAU